AAAGGGGUACUUUUGCCGAAUAUUGGGGCAGAAGUGAAAUACUUGUAAUUUGAGAAGAAUAUAACUUGUUACUGGGUAAUAGACUCUCAAGGGGACCAAUAACAUCUAUCUAGGUAAGAUCUAGAAAGAAACAGUCAAUUAAAGACUCAACCCAAUGAGGAUAUAGAUCAAGGGGAGUGAAUUCAUCCAGAUAAUCAACUGGGGAGGAAGCUAAAAU
rnacentral:lncRNA from 1 species